rnacentral:tmRNA from 1 species
CCCUUAUAUCUAGAAUGUCCUUCGGGACUAUGGACAUAAACGCGCUCGUAAUAAGCGGAUCGGACCCGGGGGCGGUACCCGGCGACUCCACCAAAACCCGUUCAUUUGGCGGACAGAGGGGUCGAAACAGGAUCGACGAACGUCUAAAGGGGUUAGCUUUGUCUCGGUGAGUUACCACCGUUAUCGGUACACUUAAGCUAGUUGCAAAUGACAACAAAGCUCCAGUAGCCCUCGCAGCGUAAGCUGUGCGGAACACUGAAAAUUAAGUCCUUGCGCCUAGCAGCGUAAGGCGGGGUUCGCAGGCACCUGGCAACAGAAGCCUGCAUCUUCCCU